rnacentral:rRNA from 1 species
UGGGGAAUUUUGGACAAUGGGCGAAAGCCUGAUCCAGCAAUGCCGCGUGUGUGAAGAAGGCCUUCGGGUUGUAAAGCACUUUUGUCCGGAAAGAAAUCCUUGGCUCUAAUACAGUCGGGGGAUGACGGUACCGGAAGAAUAAGCACCGGCUAACUACGUGCCAGCAGCCGCGGUAAUACGUAGGGUGCAAGCGUUAAUCGGAAUUACUGGGCGUAAAGCGUGCGCAGGCGGUUUGCUAAGACCGAUGUGAAAUCCCCGGGCUCAACCUGGGAACUGCAUUGGUGACUGGCAGGCUAGAGUAUGGCAGAGGGGGGUAGAAUUCCACGUGUAGCAGUGAAAUGCGUAGAGAUGUGGAGGAAUACCGAUGGCGAAGGCAGCCCCCUGGGCCAAGUACUGACGCUCAUGCACGAAAGCGUGGGGAGCAAACAGGAUUAGAUACCCUGGUAGUCCCACGCCCCUAAACGAUGUCAACUAGUUGUUGGGGGAUUCAUUUCCUUAGUAACGUAGCUAACGCGUGAAGUUGACCGCCUGGGGAGUACGGUCGCAAGAUUAAAACUCAAA